GGGGCGUAAUCCCCGCGCAAGCGCGGGGCGCGGGGUCGGUAAUAUAAUUGUGUCUAUGCAUAAAUAUUUAGUUUGAAGUUGCAUAUGGCGUAGUGAGUAUAAACAGAGAAGUCUCUACUUGCAUGAAGAGCUCUAGUGACAAUGAAGACAGUUUUGAGAUGCCAUUCAUUUCAACUCAGGGAUAUGUGUUAAGUGUAAUGUAUUUCCUCAGAUCAAAACAGAGUCACAAGGCAAAUGUAAAGAUGAAAUAAUAACUAUAUUAGAAAUAGAACUGUGUUUACAAGCACUCAAGAACCUUGAGAGGUUUAUGAUGGAGUACUCUCACCUCACCCUUUAACACUUGAUUGAUCUAAACUCUAGACAGCUCUUAUAAAUUAUUCUUGCUUAGGGACUCCUUUAAAUAGUGGAUCCUUCAUGCUCUUCUCGUGAGCCAACUUGCACUCUUCUUUGAGCCAACUUUCACAUCAUCCAUCAUCCCAUCUCCAUGUCAUCAAUCCACACUUACAAUUUGACAGUGUGGUUUGGAGCAGAGUUUACUCAAGAGAGACCUCUGAUCUGGAUGACUAUCAAAUUGAACAUGAAUUUAAAUUGGAGUCACCACAAUCCUGAAAAUAUUAUACAACCAUCAGCUUGGAUUGACUAUCUUUUAUGAGUAUUUUUCUAAUCAGGUAAGUAAAAUUCUCUGAGACUCUUUUGAAGCUGUUGGUGCCAAGGCGAUGGUGGUAGGACAUACUCCUCAGUUAUCAGGCUUAAGCUUGUACAUUUAUCUAAACUCAUUCCCAAAUAUCUUAAACACAAGAUUCUGUAGAAAAACUGUGAUGAAAUAUGUUUUUUUCCCUUGUUAGUGAAUAUGGUUGCAGCAUAUGGAGAGUUGAUGUGAGAAUGUCCAGUGGUAUUCAUGACUCUAGACCAGAGGUAUUUGGCAAUCUUGGCUCUUGAUUAGAGAUGAUGACUGGCUCUGGUGUUGUUUCUUCAGAUUCUGGAGAUAAGAGGGAACAAAGCUAGAGUUAUAUAUAAAAAAAAAAAAAGAGAAACAACUGCGACCGAGAAAUAUGAAAAAUAUUUAUUAUUGUUUUAUUUUAUUUUAAGUCAAAGUAUAUGUGGGUUCCAGAUGUCCCGUUGAGAAAUAGGCAGCCUGCAUAAUGGGAAGUUAGUUAUGAUAUUGUUGCUAAUAAACACAUCUCUUACAAAUAAUGCGUUUGAAGUUUUGACAAAAUGCAAGAAAGAUUAUAAAUACUCAGUUUCCUCACCUCCAGAAACUUAGGGACUGAUGCUAUUGACCAAGAAAAGUUUUGGCUCAGAGCCGUAGAUUUCGAGUUUGUUAUGAAAUGCGAAAAAGCUAAGCCAACAGACUGAUACUCAAAUUCACAUCCCUGCAAAGUAUCAAUGACAUUGAGAUUAA